rnacentral:rRNA from 1 species
UUGAAAGGGAAACGAUUGAAGUCAGUCAUACCAACGGGAAAUCAACCUUUUGAGCUUGGUCUCGUGGGUUUUGAAGAGUUUCAAAGCCUUCGGAUUCGCGGGAUUGGGAUCUCUCGGUGUACUUUUUCGUACGGUUAGUCAACAUCGGUUUUGAAUGUCAUAAAAUGACUGGAGGAAUGUAGCUUCGAUUUCGUAUUGAAGUGUUAUAGCCUUUGGUAGAUGUGAUGUUUGAGACCGAGGAUUGCAACGGAUACCCUUCAGGGCUAUUCGUCUGAUCUCUGAUACGUUGCCUUGAUGUUGAAAGCUUGCUUAUGAUGUUAGGGUAUUACGGUCAAAAGGUUAGAACGAAUUACAUUCGUUAAGGAUGUUGACGUA